AUUCUCCAGCCCCCAGGAUUGAGUUUUUAUCUGCACUGUUGUCUCCUCAUAUUAUUUCCUGUAUACCGGAUUCUCAAGAUGAAAUAAGGAUGGAUCAAUGUCGGCUUCAAGUCUGGCAAGGGCUUCAACUUUGUGUAGAAAAAGGUUUAGUAAAGUUGAGUUUAAUCCAUAUUUGGUGGAUAUUUCAAUUCAAGAAUACUGUAAGCAGCAGGGUAUUAUUCUUCAAGCAUAUGCCCCUCUUGGG